GAAAGAUGAGAACCUAUGUGAUGUUGUUGUUCAAAAGAUCAAAACCAAUGUGUUAUAGAAAUUACAACCCAAUGAUGCUUAUUAUGAAGGAUCAUGAUUAUUAUGGUGCUAUUUUAUAAAUAUAACACCACUGGAGAAAUCACAACACAAUGGUUUGUUGGUUUUUGAUUUAUUCUACAAAUGGUGUUGAUCUUUAAAAAUCAACAUCAUAAUGGUCACGAUAUUUCAAAACCAUCGCCACUAUGUUGUGAUUUCUCUAACAUAUUGGUUAUGAUCUUUGGACAAGAGCAUCACACAAGUUUUGAUUUUUCAAAAUCAGCACUAUGGUAUUGUGAUUUGUCCCUACCUCAUCCGCAGCAAGAUCCGGCCACCAUCUUCCCUCCAUCGGCAGAAGCGGGGAAGGAGUUUCUCCUCCGCACUAGCCAACAACUUCCCCUCCGGUGAUUCCAACACCAGCUACCAUUCUCUGAUCCUUGGGGUUUCCCUCGGAUGUGAACACAGCACCGUUCCACAACUCCAACAGCAUGUAGAUCAGCCAUUCACCCUCUCUGAUCAGCCACAGCUACCAUUCCCAUGGAUCAGCCCUUCAUCUCCUUCGCAGCGGCUCUGAUCAGUCCCUUCCUCAUUCAGACAGCUGCCCUCUAUUGACGUGUUUUGUUCGAAUUCAUCUAUUUGUUUGUUGAUUGUUGAUUGUUGAUUGUUGAUUGUUGAUUGUUGAUUGUUGAUUGUUGAUGGUUGAUAUUGAAUGUUUGUAGUAAACUUGAUUUCCCACAUUAAGGUUGCAUGCACUUGGGUUAAUUCAACUCAUGCUCACAAGUUGUUCGAUGAAAUAUUUCUUCCAGUAGUUAGGUUUUAUUUGAUACAUUGAGUUAGUUUAAUUUCUUGCAAUGCUUAUUUCGGUUGAAUGUUUAAGUUUGUGUUCUUCAUUUGAAUGCAAUUAGGUUAGAUUAGGUUUUGUUGAAUGCUUAGUUUCAUUAAAUACUUGCUUUAUGUUCUCUUUCAUUCUUCGCGAUUAUAGUUAGUUAGGGUAGUUUUUUUAUUUCAUGCAUUGCUUUCCAUGUAUUAUGUUUAGUUUUGAUUUCAAUUCAUUGCUUUUGCUUUUAUUUUUGAUAGCUUCAAUGUUUGAAGAGAAAUUCCCUCCACCUCCAAUUUCCCAUUGAUGUAAUGUGUUGGCACUCCGACACAAUACUUAACAGUCUCUUUCUAGUUGGUGACUGAAACUCCAUUUAAGAAACGAGAUUUUAGACUUUGGUCUUAAAGGUAUAAUUUUGAAAUGAAAAACAUACUUGGAUCACUCCGUCCUUAGCAUGGUUUCAUUUAGUUAUUAUUUGUUUUAGGAGCAUGUAUUAGUUUGUAAAGUUGGUAAGCUAUUUUCUGUGUUUUGGUUUAACCUGCAUUAUUUUUUGGAUUUCCUUCAUAAUUUAAGCUUACAUGUUAUGAAAUUUGAAGAGUUUGACUAAUCAAAGGCAAUUUACUAGGAUUUGCAAUCCAUUUGUAAUAUUGUUAACCUUAUUUUUGCUUUGAUAUGUGAAAUUUAUUUGAUUACUCUGAUUAAUUAAGUAAAGUUAUAGAUGCAAGUACUUUGACUAAUGUAUUUGUAUUGUGUGGAUAUACAGGGAUCCCUACAUGAGAAUAAUGUACACAUAUUUGGUUAAUGCCAGGACAAAGCUUUCAGAUGAUGAUCUUAAAGCACGCAUCCGUGGGAUGCUGCUGAUAGUGGAUAUGGUGCAAAGGCCUAGGCAGUUCUUAGUCAAGUUAAAGGAAGGUAAAUCUUAGCUGAUAUAUAUGUCUUUUUCGGAGGGACGAGAGAGAUGCAAGAAGAAAUUGACUUUCUUUCGUGAUCACCUUGCUAAUGCGGAUAAGAUAUUUUGUACAUCAUGAAAAAAGUUGAUUUAUGAUUUGUAAAAGUUAAUUUUGUGUAUAGUGACUGAAAUUCAUAUUGUACAAUUAAUUUAUAAAUCUUAAGCUAUUGUAAA